GUACCAGAUGCUGAUUCAGAUGAAUCUGAAGUGGCCCCAGCUACCAAGCACUUCAUAAUGUGGCUAAAAUGAAACUGGAAACAGUUUCACAAUGGAUAGUAGACCCUAAUAAAAGCACUCUGUAAGAUGGGACCUAAAAGCUUGCUGUGUAUGUGCAUUUGGGUUGCUAAGAUACUUUCUUCGUUUCUGGCGGUGUCACCAGGGAGAGGACAAGAAUCCAAACUGAGGUGUAAGAAGGGCAGAAAUACAUGGUGAUUUCUCUGCAAAAUUCAGUAGAACAGUUUUACUCAAAUAAUGAUUCUUGGGCCAUCUGCCUCAGAGUCUGUGGAGAUAAGUUCCGAAAAUCUGCAUUUUAAAUAAGGUUUGGAAGUAAUUUCAAAUUUUAAAAGCUAUUUGCGUAGGAAUUGCUCUAGUCGCUACUAAAUUUUGGUAGUAUAGAAAGACAGUGUAAUGUCAACAUGAAUUAUUUUUCAUUUGCGUAUUAUUUGUAAUUUCUGACUUUAAGACUUUUCAUUAUCCUUGAGGACCAUAAAUUUCAAAGAUAUUUGUAGCUGUGGGUUACAUUACAUUGAUUUUGCCUGAUUGGCUUUUAUGAAACAGAAACUCAAAUAUUUAUUUGGCUUAGCAUAAUUUUCUUCUAUUUCUUAUUAAUUAUUACUUUCUUCAAUUUCUUUCUUCAAUAUAUGUGUACUAGAUCUCUUUGAUUUAGUGACCACGCCUAUCUUUUUUUUAAACUUUUUGUUUUGAAAUAAUUAUUGAUUUGUGGUAUAUUGCAAAAAUACUACAAAGAAAUCUUUUAUGUGCUUCAUUCAUAUUACCCCAAAGGUUAUACCUUAUGUAACUAUAUUAUAAAAUCAAAGCAGGAAUUUUGGUACAGUGGGUAUGUAUAGUUCUAUGCCAUUUUGUCACGUGCAUAGAUUUCUGUAAUCACCACAACAAUCAAAAUAUAAAUCUAUUCCAUCUACACAAAUAUGUCUCCUCCUUUAUAUAGUCAUACCCCUUACCCCUUACCAUCCCUAGCCCCUGGAAACCACUAACCUCUCCUCAAUCGCUAUAAUUUUAUAAUUUGAGAAUGUUGUAUGUGGAAUCAAAUAGUAUGUGACUUUUUGAGAUUGGCUUGUUUCACUCAUCAUAAUGCCCUUGAGAUCCAUCUCAGUUGUUGCAGGUAUCAAUAGUUCACUCCUUUUUAUUGCUGAGUAGUAUUCCAAAGUAUGGAUGUACCACAGUUUAUUUAGCAAGUCUCUUAACUUUUCUA
rnacentral:lncRNA from 1 species